rnacentral:rRNA from 1 species
GAUGAACGCUAGCUACAGGCUUAACACAUGCAAGUCGAGGGGCAGCGCAGUGUAGCAAUACAUGGGCGGCGACCGGCGCACGGGUGCGUAACGCGUAUCCAACCUUCCCGUUACUCAGGGAUAGCCUUCCGAAAGGGAGAUUAAUACCUGAUGGUGUUCAAAUUCCGCAUGUUAUUUGAACUAAAGAUUUAUCGGUAACGGAUGGGGAUGCGUGACAUUAGAUAGUAGGCGGGGUAACGGCCCACCUAGUCUACGAUGUCUAGGGGUUCUGAGAGGAAGGUCCCCCACACUGGAACUGAGACACGGUCCAGACUCCUACGGGAGGCAGCAGUGAGGAAUAUUGGUCAAUGGUCGGAAGACUGAACCAGCCAAGUAGCGUGAAGGAUGAAGGUUCUAUGGAUUGUAAACUUCUUUUAUACGGGAAUAAAGCCCACUACGUGUAGUGGUUUGUAUGUACCGUAUGAAUAAGCAUCGGCUAACUCCGUG